rnacentral:rRNA from 1 species
ACGACGACCGGCGCACGGGUGCGUAACGCGUAUACAAUCUACCUUUUACAGGGGGAUAGCCUUUAGAGAUGAAGAUUAAUACCCCAUAGUAUAUCAGUAUGGCAUCAUACAGAUAUUAAAAUUUCGGUGGUAAAAGAUGAGUAUGCGUCCUAUUAGUUAGUUGGUAAGGUAACGGCUUACCAAGACUACGAUAGGUAGGGGCCCUGAGAGGGGGAUCCCCCACACUGGUACUGAGACACGGACCAG